GGGGAAUUUUGGACAAUGGGGGAAACCCUGAUCCAGCCAUUCCGCGUGUGCGAUGAAGGCCUUCGGGUUGUAAAGCACUUUUGGCAGGAAAGAAAUCGCACGGGCUAAUAUCCCGUGUGGAUGACGGUACCUGCAGAAUAAGCACCGGCUAACUACGUGCCAGCAGCCGCGGUAAUACGUAGGGUGCAAGCGUUAAUCGGAAUUACUGGGCGUAAAGCGUGCGCAGGCGGUUCGGAAAGAAAGAUGUGAAAUCCCAGGGCUCAACCUUGGAACUGCAUUUUUAACUACCGGACUAGAGUGUGUCAGAGGGGGGUGGAAUUCCACGUGUAGCAGUGAAAUGCGUAGAUAUGUGGAGGAACACCGAUGGCGAAGGCAGCCCCCUGGGAUAACACUGACGCUCAGGCACGAAAGCGUGGGGAGCAAAC
rnacentral:rRNA from 1 species